UUGUUUCUGUUAUGAUAUAGACGUUCAUUACACAUAGUAUUGUAUAGUCCGGCGGGCCAGGCCCACCGACAAGUUCACAGGUGUGAGGAUUGUUCAAAGGCCUCUCGGCCAAAUCACUAAUGAUCCUUCCGCAGGUUCACCUACGGAAA
rnacentral:misc_RNA from 1 species